UACGUAGGGUCCGAGCGUUGUCCGGAAUUACUGGGCGUAAAGAGCUCGUAGGUGGUUUGUCGCGUUGUCCGUGAAAACUCACAGCUCAACUGUGGGCGUGCGGGCGAUACGGGCAGACUGGAGUACUGCAGGGGAGACUGGAAUUCCUGGUGUAGCGGUGGAAUGCGCAGAUAUCAGGAGGAACACCGGUGGCGAAGGCGGGGUCUCUGGGCAGUAACUGACGCUGAGGAGCGAAAGCGUGGGGAGCGAACAGGA
rnacentral:rRNA from 1 species